AUUGAACGCUGGCGGCAUGCCUUACACAUGCAAGUCGAACGGUAACAGGUCUUCGGAUGCUGACGAGUGGCGAACGGGUGAGUAAUACAUCGGAACGUGCCUAGUAGUGGGGGAUAACUACUCGAAAGAGUGGCUAAUCCCGCAUGAGAUCUACGGAUGAAAGCAGGGGAUCGCCAGCCCUUGUGCUACUAGAGCGGCCGAUGGCAGAUUAGGUAGUUGGUGGGAUAAAAGCUUACCAAGCCGACGAUCUGUAGCUGGUCUGAGAGGACGAUCAGCCACACGGGGACGGAGACACGGCCCAGACUCCUACGGGAGGCAGCAGGGGGGAAUUUUGGACGAUGGGCGCAAGCCUGAUCCAGCAAUGCCGCGUGCAGGAUGAAGGCCUUCGGGUUGUAAACUGCUUUUGUACGGAACGAAAAGCCCCGGGUUAAUACCCUGGGGUCAUGACGGUACCGUAAGAAUAAGCACCGGCUAACUACGUGCCAGCCGCCGCCGUAA
rnacentral:rRNA from 1 species